rnacentral:rRNA from 1 species
GACGAACGCUGGCGGCGUGCUUAACACAUGCAAGUCGAACGGUGAAGCGCCUUCCUUUUUGGUGGGUGUGGAUGAGUGGCGAACGGGUGAGUAACACGUGAGUAACCUGCCCCCUUCUUCUGGAUAACCGCAUGAAAGUGUGGCUAAUACGGGAUAUUCUGGGUCUGUCGCAUGAUGGGUCUGGGAAAGAUAUUGUUUCGGUGGGGGAUGGGCUCGCGGCCUAUCAGCUUGUUGGUGGGGUGAUGGCCUACCAAGGCGGUGACGGGUAGCCGGCCUGAGAGGGUGGACGGGCACACUGGGACUGAGACACGGCCCAGACUCCUACGGGAGGCAGCAGUGGGGAAUAUUGAACGGUGGGCGGAAGCCUGCUGCAGCGACGCCGCGUGAGAGAUGGAGGCCUUCGGGUUGUGAACCUCUUUCGCCAGAGAAGCAGGCCUGCCUAGUAUGUGGGUGGGUUGACGGUAGCUGGAUAAGAAGCGCCGGCUAACUACGUG